CCACACUUCCUAGUUUAAUUCCUGACCUCGGAUUUUUUAGGUCGUAAUAUGACCUUUCAUUGGUCUAUGAAUUCUUAUGUGUACUAUUUACAGCAUUCUCAACUACAUACCUUGAGUCAAUUCACAGAGGGUCUUCCAUGAACAUUAAUCUUCACUCUUUGCUUUCUUCAAGGCAAUGUAGAAACUAUAAUAUUAAAAGUUUUCUUGAUUACCUGAGCAUGUCUCCACUAUGUAAUUUUGGCCCGCUCAAAGCUGGUGAUAUGCUGAAAGUAUUACCGUUGCCAUUGCUAUAACCUGAAGGGUGACCAAGAGGCAUUGGCCUAUCUGGAAUUGGUGGCACUUCAAUAUCUCCUUCCAACAUUUUCAGUGCAUCCAAAAUGGUAGGCCGCAAAGCCACCAUUACAUGAGCACACAAAAUGCCAACCAGCAAAAAUCUCUCCAUUAUGCUCUUUGGAUUUGAAUUCACAUUAUCACCAUCUUUCAGCAAUGAAAAGUCUAAAGCCUGUUCAACUUUUCCAGAUUUCACUAAUGACCAAGCCCAAUCUGUGAUCAAAAAUGCACGUGGUGAUCCCAAGGAAGACAAAUCAAGUGCUUUUCUACCACACAUAAUCUCCAAAACAACCACACCAAAGCUAUAAACAUCGCUCUUCUCAGUCAGCUGUCCAUAAAGAGCAUAUUCCGGGGCUAGGUAUCCGUGAGUUCCUGCCACUCUAGUAGUGAGAUGAGACUGGCCUUCCAUGCUCUGUUUUGCAAGCCCAAAAUCUGCCACUCUUGCUUUCAUAUCCGCAUCUAGUAGUAUGUUUGUUGCCUUAAUAUCUCUGUGAUAAAUUGCAGGCUUCACUCCAUAAUGCAAAUAAGCUAACCCCUUGGCAACAUCCAAUAUAAUGCUCUUUCUUUGAGGCCAAGUCAAGGGUCUCCUUUCAAUUCCACUCUGAUUACUAGACAGAGAAAUAAAUAUAUGGUCAUCCAGAUUCCCAUUCGGCAUGUAAUCAUAGACAAGGUACCUAUGACUUCCUCUCUCCUCAUAACUGUCUUCACCCUCAACCACGCAACACCCUCUAAGUGGCACAAGAUUUCGGUGCUUCAAAUUGCUAAUAAUCUCAACCUCAUUGCAAAAUUCAGCAUCUCCUUGAAAAUCAGAUUCUAUGACUUUCUUAACAGCUACAGUAGUCCCAUCCUGUAAAACACCCUUGUAAACAAGACCAAAUCCACCUCGACCGAUAAAAUUCUUCUGUGAAAAGUUAUUAGUUGCCUUCUCAAGGUCCUGAAUAUUAAACCAAAUCGAACCAGUGUUGGGUCUCACUCUAAUCCUAGACUCUCGUUCAUCUAAAUCAAAACCAGAAUCCAUGCGGGACCUUUCAACCCUUUUGUUCCUCCACCUUCUAUCAUACCAAAAAUACAACCCCAACAAACUAGACAUGACAAACACUGCAACCCCGGCACCAGUUAGGCCGAAAACAAGAGCGGUACUGCUCUUUUUCGAUGAACCCGCAUGAGAAUCCGGUGACAAACCGAAUAUACAGGACACAACACCAUUACUUUCAGGCCCAAACUCAUUGACAAUACCAGCAGCAUAAAGAAUUGUAAAAUACCAACAAUCUCUAGUGUGAGAAGUGUUACCAUCAACAGAAAUCAGCUUCUUCUGAAUGUCAAAGCCGGCGUCCACGCAAGCGCCGCAGGAGGAGAGAUCAGUGAGGUCUGGCCUGCAAGCAGAGUCAAGAGAAGUACUCUGGCCAAGCUUGGCGACCCAAUCUUGGGAAGACUCAAUUUUGGCACAGAUAUUGGGAGUGAUGACAAACUGCAUAGGGUCAAAGCAAUACGAGACAAGAUUGGGAGGGAGGGAGAGGGAGGUGAGCUUGGAUUGGUAGUUUUGGAGGCAAGAAUUGGAGGUGGGCAAGUUGGGAAGCUGAAAGAGGGAUGUCUCUUUGAGGUGUUGGGCAAGGGCAACUCCAAGGAGGGACAAGAGGGUUUGGCAACAUGGGAUCUUGGUGAGGUCCAUUUGGGGGGUUUUGGGAGGGGGCUGGAAGUUUUUGCAUGACGAGGAGUUGAAGGGGAUUCUUAGGACAUAGUUGAGAUCCAUGGGGCAUGUUGUUGUGGUGUUGGUUGUGGGGGCUGAUGCUGCUGUUGUUCUUGGAGACAGGGUAGAGAAAGAAAGUAGAGAGAGAAGCACCCAAAACCCAAUUAGUUUCAUCUCUUCUCUUCUAUUCUAAUUUCUAACUAUUUCUCUCACACUCAGAUUGUGGGUUGUGCUUGAAUUUGGAUAAGCUGUAGUUGGGUUGUGAUUUUGAGAGAAACUAAACUAUCUAGAGAGAGAGAGAGAGAGAGAGAGAGAGAGAGAGAGAAGGAAUGAGUUGUGUUGGUCUUUCACUCUUCCUCGGUUACAGAGAUGAGCUUUGGAGGAUUGGAGCUUUGGUCAAACAAACCUCCCUCUUCCUCAUUUCUGGCUGCUGGGUUGGUGUCACAGUAACUAACUAGGAAAAGGAGCGUGGCCCAAACGCGCUAUUUAUUAUAGAAAUGUAUGAUUUUGAUGUUUAAUUAAAUGUGUUUUUUAAGAGAUUAGAUUCUGAUGUACGUUUUUUUCCCGUUAAACAUGCGUGGUAGACUGAAUGUUUUUUUUUCAUUUUUUUAUACAAGCGAUAUCUAAUUAUUCUAGUAUUUGCAUUCAUAAAAUAUUAAUAUAUUUGCAGAUACAUUUGUGAGUAUACAUAUAUUAAUGUUAUUCCACGUACUUAGAUUGAAAAAAGUGAUAUUUGAUUAUAUAUUCAUUCUUAGCACUAGUAAUAUAAAUAAAUUAUACACCAUUUAAUUUCUAUAAACAAACUCAAAAAAAUUCAAAAAAUUACAGCUUAUCAUAUUGAAUUUAAUUUUGAUUAUUAAAUUACUUUAAUACCUUAUUAAGUGUUUUGGAUUUUUUUUUAUAAGGUUUUUGGAGUUGGACUUGUUUUAAAAAAUUGAUGGCAAUUCUGUAGUUUAUAGGAAGUUCGAAGCAUCUUUGUUAUAUUAUAAAUGAAUUUUGAGUGUGUUUUUAAAGUUCAUUUUAUGUAAGAUUUUUAUAUAAUUUGGACUCAUAUAUUGAGUAUAAUAAUGAAUCUCCUUUAAUUUUUUAUAUUUUAUAUUUUUUUCAUUUGAUCAAGCAAGUUUAUCAAUUUAUUCAUUGUAUAAAUAAUUACAUUAAUAUGGGAUUUUUUAAAAUAUUUUUUUGCUCAUAUUUACAGAACGGGAAUGGUGAUGGUGGAAUGUAAACAAUACAUGCGCGUGGGGAGGCUGGGGUUUGCUGACUCUGGUUAGUAUGUAAAAGUCUGCUGAUUAUUUAAAAAAAACAAAACAAAAAAGGAGAAAAGGUUGCAGGCUAAGCACAGGCAUAUUAUAUUUUAUAUCAAAUAGAUGUAUCAGUUCAUCAUCCUAAUCCCAAGUUAUUGUUUUUCCCAAACAUGACCCACCUUGGUUAGUCUUACUUUUGCAUUUCUAGUUAGACUUACGUUAAUUAGGUUUUUUUUUUUAAGGAAUUAGGAUGAUGAACUAAAACAUCUAUUUUAUAUAAACAUACUCGAGUAAAGUUCAAGCAAUGAAGACCUGAAUCAAACUAACGAAGAGGAAACACAAGUUUUGAAGCUCUGUGAAUAAAUUUGUUUAAACUCAUGAUUAGUAAAAGUAAGUUUAAUUUGAAGCGCAUGCAUGCAUUCAUAAACAAUGUCUUAACGUGCUUAGAAUUGCAUAUGGAUCCGAUGGGAAUGAAGUAGAAAAAGCAGUUAGGUUAGCUUGGAAUGAACCUAAAAAUAGAAGCUACGAGAGUAAAAUUAAAUAAACUAACUAAUUAAAAGAAUGACCCGACCUAUACUCAUCCAUGUCACAAUAACAAACACUUUUUCCUCAUCUCACCAAAAACACAAACACUUCACCUCAUAAACGCUCCUAAAGAAACGCUUCUUCAUCUUUGAAUCCCCAGCCAUUCUCUUCUGAUAUCGACCUCCUCCCUGCCCCCUCUCUUUUACGGGGGAUCCUCCACGUUCAGCAUCGACGUCGGAUCUCUACAGCAUGCUCGGAAUAUCCAAUAUUUGCAAAGGAUACAAAUCCUUUGUUAUGAAAUUGUCACCCAACCACCAUCACAAGAAUGGACAAUCCAAGUUUACAGACAAUCAUGAAACCACCAAGGUAACAUAAAUUCAUACGUUCUCAUUUAAAAAAAAUAAAAAAUAAAAAAAUCCUGGAUUAUAUGCAUUUGCCAAACACCUGCAUGUGCUUAAAUCCAUCAAAAAGUCAUACAAUUAACAUGAUGUACGCAAGCAAAUCUGCAUUGUUGAAUUGGUAACAUGUAUUGUAUGCAUUUCUGACAAUUUUUAUCUAGAAAUUAGGAGUUAUUUUAAGCGUAAAUAUUGGGUCAAAUUUGAUGCUAUAAUCUUUAAUGAUGUUUAUAUCAAUUUGCAUCGAUCAUGAUCUUGAAAAGUUUAUAGCUUGUUUCUAAUCUCAUUCUAUGCUUAAUUUGCAUAAUGAUCAUGAUCUGAGAUGCAGGAGGAAGAAAAUUUUACAAUUAGUUACCCAACAACACCAAUAGGCAGUUUUGAUCAUCAACGAAGUAUUGAUGAUAGCUUCUUCUCACGUCGAAGUCUUUCAAGGAUUGGGAGUAGAAGAUGUAAAACACCCACCCCGAGGACCUUCUCAAGAAGUGCAAGCCGGAGCACCACCCCGACGCCGACGACAUUAUUGAGAGAUAUGAGUCUAAGGCAAUCGUCAGAGACCGAAACCUCUGCCUCAAUAUCAAGAAAUAUGAGUCGAAGGCAAUCGUCAGAGACCAAAACCUCUGCCUCAAUAUCAAGAAAUAUGAGCCGACGGAGCACCUCAGAGACUGAAUUUCAUGCCACUCUAUCAAGGAAUAUGAGCCGGAGACGCCCAUCUGAGACUGAAAUACCCUCUCCAUCACCCGCAGCCUCUUCAUUGUCGGCACCUGCCUCUCCGGCGCCUGCCUCUCCAUCGCGGACUCUAUCACCUAGUGCCAAUAGAACAUCAGGCACGUCUGAUCAACCGGACAAACCUUCCACACCUCUGUCAAGAAGUAUUAGCAAGAGGAGCCCAACCCCUAUCGUGUUCUCUCGGACAACUGCACGAAAGAAAGCUCCUCCAGUUGAGAAGAGGCUUGGAUUCACACUUGAGCAGUUGUGCCAUGGAUGUGUAAAGAAGAUCAAGCUUACAAGAGAUGUCAUUAACGAUGCCGGGUUUGUUACUUUAAUUACUUCACCUUAUCUCAUGUUAAGAGACGCUUAAUCUAUUUGUGCGACUAUUUGUGAGGUGAUUAAUUAUACUGAUGUGUGUGAUCGUUAUGAAACAGGAUUAUUGUCCAAGAAGAGGAAAUACUGCAAAUAAACGUGCAGCCUGGAUGGAGGAAAGGUACGAAGAUUACAUUCCAAGGAAAAGGGGAUGAGAAACCAGGGUACCUCCCUGCUGACAUAGUCUUCUUGAUAGAUGAAAAGCGGCAUCCCUUGUACAAAAGAUCAGACCGCGAUGACUUGGAAAUGGCUGUUGAGAUUCCUCUGGUGGAUGCACUGGGAGGCUGCUCAUUUCCAGUUCCUCUGUUAGGAGGGGACAAAAUGAAACUCUCAUUCGAUGACAUCAUAUAUCAUGGCUACGAAAAGGUCAUCCAAGGACAAGGCAUGCCAUUGCUUAAGGAACCAACAAGGAGAGGUGACCUCCGGAUCACGUGUCUAAUAAACUUUCCGACAACUUUGAGUGAUGAAGAACGUGCAGAAGCUGUCAACAUUCUACAAAAUUGUUCUUAUGAUUAACAAUUCAAAUCUCUCCAUCACUUAUGAGGAACCAUUUAGAAUUGUUCUCUUUUGAUCUUCUCUAUGGGGAAAAAUAGAAACUCACAGUAGUCAAAAUUUUGAAUUGAACUGCAUCUACUCACAUGUACAUAGCUCUGCAGAGUUACCUAUACAAUAUGAGUACACAAGGAACAAAGUACCCUUAACAAGUAGAAUUCCACUGAGAAUUUUGCAGUAGAGAUAGCAUUUGUAAUGUAUUUUGUGUCAAAUAUAGCAAUCUUUCCUCAGCGGUUUUUUUCUGAAUUCCGAAAAACAGUUCUAAUCCAUUGCUUAUGUUUUCUAUGCUGAUGUUGUGCCUUUGUCCAUGACUACAUCAAUUUAGGGUUCCCACUUACCUUUCCAAUAUAUGCUCUAAAUACUGAAAGGCAGACACCCAAAAUGCUAUCAACAAAAGAAAAUGUAGAGAUAUUCUUUUAUAAUUGAAAUAUACUUGGAAUAUCAUGUCAAGUCAACAUAAUUAAAAAUUUAGCUUUACACAUGGUAGCUAUAUAACUGGGGUUUCAGAUGGCUAACAAGAGCGACAACUUCACAUUUUCAUGAAUCUGGCACCAAGGAUGAAGAUGAAGUCUAGAUUAACAACAGAAAACCAGCCUAGAUUAGUGUGCCACAGCACUGGAAGCCUGGACUCUAGCCAAUCAACAUAAAAGUAAGCCCCUCUUUCGCACAAAACAACAUGAAAAUAUAAUUUGACGUUAUUUCAUGAAUAGCUUCAUAAAAAUUUUACUUCCCUAAUGUUACAACACCUCUGUGUCUUGGAUUGGUAGAGAACAAUUAAAAUCAAGCCCAAAUAUAAAUUGGAUUUGAGAUUAAUGGUCUAAAGGAUGAAUGCACCUCAAGAACUUGAGCUCCUUGUCAGUGAGCGUUGCCCAGCAAGAAAAGGUACUUCUACCACUGUUCCAGGAACAGAAUCUCCAACAAUUACAGUGUCUCCCUCUGAAACAGUUUGCCUCUUGAUGUAGCCUAAACCAAAGUACCCAUUUUCCUUUCUUCCCGAUGUGCAACUUGUGAGCUUCCCAACCUGUGAAAAUUUCACAAGCUGUCAUGACACAGCCUUGAAUCUUGCCCUUUAUUUUCUAUACUCGACCACUGACAUAAAAUACUGGUGACAAUUUAAAGGGAAGGAAAAAAAAUUCUUAAGCAUUAUCUAUUUAAAGUUUUGAAGGUGACUUAGUGUUAAAUUCCGCGGCCAAUUUAUUCAGGAAGUUGAAUGGAGGUUUUGCUUUCUUCCCUAUUAAAAAUAUAAUGAUAAGAAAAAUAUUUGACAUGCAAAAUUUGAACAGUAUAUUGGAGAGUGAAACAACUACUACCUUUUUCCCAUCAAUUGUAAUGAGGCUGCCAACUUCUGCCGGGGCAGAUAGACGAAUCGCCCAAAGUCUUUGCUUAACUCCGUCAUAUGUUAUGAGUCUAGCUAUAGUCUCUUGUCCCUUGUAGCAUCCUGCAAAAAGACAGAAUUAGACCAGCUAUUUUCUCAUUUUCUUUAAGAUGCAUUAAAGAGUAAGGAGUAUGAUACCUUUGUUCAAAGAGAUCGAAUUCCAGAGACCAGCCUCCAGUACAUUAUAUUCAUUAGUAAGCUCCUUCUGAGGAGCUGGCCUUCCUGCAAAAAGUAAUCUGGGCUGAUGAUCACGAGAGAAAUCACAGAAAACUGAACUUUAAAAGACUAAAACACACUACUAUUAUUGUCAAGAAACAUUUGGUUACAUGCUUGUAUAUUUAAUUAGUUGUUCCAUUCCAUGAUAAUGCUUUAUUUGUUGUUAGUGCACGAGGGGAAAAAAAAUAUGAAAACAAAGGAAUAUGUCUUUCUGUUUUAACACCCAAAAACAUAUGAAGCAUGUCCACUGCGAGCCUGUUUAUGGAAAUUACAGACGAGAACUCAUCCAAUUUCAAGUUUUAAUUAUUUUCAAUAGCAAACAAGCAAACAAAAAGGUUUUUCCACUGAAAUGCAACUUUUAAAAAACUUUCUACAUUAAAUUGUCAAAGAAAACUAAAUUGGCAGUUAAGAAUAUAAAAUAGGUGACAGCAAACAUAUCAUAAUGCAUCAGUCAAAGCAUUGACGAAAUUAAACAUGGACAGGCUUAGCUCCUUGGUGAGGAAGCACUUUCUCCCUACAGUUAAGGUGCUACCAAUAACUUUGUAUGAGUUGGUGAAUGUAGUGGGUUCAAUCACAUUAAAGUUGUUAAUUAUGAUGAUUUAAUGUUGUGAAAUGGGUGAGCCGCAUUACUUUCACCAUUUAUUUCCAUGAAUUGGUUACUCAGGGGUGAGGGAGAAGUUCUUCCUUACGGGUAAGUAGCCAACCAUUCUUCAUUCAAAAAUGGAGGAAAAGUGCCAACAUCUAAAUAAAAAAUUCUUACCUUGGAAAAUUCUUAGUUUUUCCCAUGCAUUAGAGCCCAUUGGAAUUGCACCCUGUGACAGAAUCGUUUUCCAGACUGAUCCAGCAGCAGCUGGUGACAUCAAAAGUGAAAAACCCUUUUCAGAAAUGACAUUACCCACACCCACAGUUAUAGGCAUCCCGUUAACCUGCAAAGUAAUAGGAUGUCUUAUUAAUCUCCCUUGAAAAUAAUACUUUAAAUUUCAUCUCUCCUACAGUUAUUCUUAAAGAAGAUGAAAUCAAUAAGUACAACACACUCGUAUACAUUAUUGAUGCUUACACUAAAAUGCUGAUGUGUGCCAUAUGGCUGUCCAACAAGAUCACCUAGGUUUAACUCUUCCAUUAUCUGUUCUCAUUUCAUGAUAAACAAUUAACAUCAUCAAGCUUCAGCUUAGUAAAAAGCAAGGUCAAAGACCAAAAUAAUGCUUGCCACAUGUACAACAAAAUUUAAAAAAUCUUACCUGGUUGCUUUUAGGUCCCACCAAAACAAAAAAGCAAGUUUGCUUAGUGAUGUCUUGAAUCUCUACCUUGUCAUUAAAGAAUAUGUACCUGUUGAAAAAAUGGCCCAGUGAUAAGAUUCACUACAUGGAACUUAUUCCCAAUAAAAGUUUAUCAAUUGAACAUCCUCCAGCUCUCCCCCAACUUGUACCAGCCUAGAAAAUUGUCAUGUCCACCCUAAACUCCACAUCAUUCAAGUCUUAAAAAAAAAAGAAAUAUUGCAGUUGAGAAAAUUCCCACUGUCUCUUUAUCAGUAGCCAUGCUGAAUUGGACAGGAAAGAAACUCUCUAAAGAACUGCCUGGCCCCACAGUCAUGCCAAAUAUUCAUCUCAGUCUGAUUGUUUAAAUUUCCAUGCCUUCGUAAAAAUUCAAUGACAGUGAAAGUGAGUAUGAAGCACUUCACCAAAAUAUAAGAACACCAGGAGAGAGAGAGAGAGAGAGAGAGAGAGAGAGAGAGAAUUGCAAGCUGGGCAUAACAGGACUGGACCAUUGGUAACAGUGCAAAAGAUAAUGUAAAUUCUCCUCAAAGUUUGUCUUAUUGUUUUUCUUCUUUUGACAAAUUUCAAUUACAUUAGUGCUUAGAUAGUGCUGUGGUAUACAUGAUGAUACCAUCUUUCAAAGCUUUUUAAAACAACACUAAGAACUUAAAAAAGAAGAUGCACGUACUUAUUCAGCAUUUCAGAGAUACUUCUCAAAGUCACCGGUGAGACCACUAACAGUACUGCAUUUUUCUGGGAACACAAAAAUAAAAUAUAAAUAACAAAGUUGAUGAAAAAAAACAUGAAGACUAUUAAACUUCAGGGAAAUCAACAACGUACAAAAAUUAUGAAAAAGAAAGAUUACCAUGAUCCACGCAUGUGCAAUAUCUAUUGUCCGAGCUGUUGGUGUAACAAAAACGGUGUCACAUCCCUACGGAUUUCAAUCAGAAAUCCUAUUACUCAAGCCUGUAUGAUUGUAUACAUAUAAGAAUUAAAUCAAAAGAAGAAAAUUGCGUCAACAGCAUAUACGCAACCAACUUCUGAUUACAUCCGACCAAAAAUACCUGUCCUUCAUGAAGGCAUUCAAAAUUGGCAGUUGUUUGGUUGUGAAGAAAUUGGAUACGGUCUUCUCCACUAACUUCGUGAUGAAGCCACAUAUUCAUAUGCACAAGGGAAAAACACAUUAAAGCAUCCGCCAAAGCCAAAUACUACAAACUUGACAUAAAUUUGAUUGCAUUACCUCAAACAAGUAAACAAUAAAUACAUGACAACUCUAAUUCUCGAACAAUUAGCAAAAGAUUAUGAACUCCAUACAAAAGGAUGAAAAUAUGAUUAAAUUAGUACGAAUAAUAUUAAUGUGAGAGAAAGAUACAUCUCUUUAGCACUGCUACUUGUAUGCUCACAGGGCAUAUCCAAGUUAAACAAACGGAGACUGACUCCAUUUAACUUGGCUACACAAGCUUGACUUGGUGACUGGUAAGCUGCAUGGCCAUCAGGCCAAGCGACCUAGUGUCUUAGAGCAAAGGCCAAGGUCCCUCAACAGCUCUAAACGAGAGGUAACCUUCUAGACAGUCGUUAGACCUAGCCAAGCACUUCAACACGGUUAUGGUUUUGAAUUCCACAUACAACAUUCAGCAUAAGUUUCCCCUUACUAGAGCAAUUUCCACUUGGGGCCAAAUACGGUAUGAGAUAUUUAUGCACAGGUUUCCAUAUUUAUCUGUGGGACAUUUGCGAGUUAUUCAUUAUAAUAUCUAUGGGAUAAGCUGCAUUUUGGGCUUCGCUUUGGGUGCCGGUUUCUGUCAAACAUAUGGGGAAAUAAUUCUGAAUAUCUAUUUUUUUUAUAGAAGAAAUUCUGAAUAUCUAUUCUUCCCCAUCCAAGACGUAUUUAAAGUGUUACAAUGAUAUACAAAGUAAGAGAAACAACCAACCUAAUAAAAGUAAACAAAGUCAACUAUAUAAAAUUCUACUAAUAAAAAAUUGCUAUUUCUAUUGUAUUCCAACACAUGUCAACAGUUUCUUCUGCUUUCUGUGAUUGUCCUUUCUUUCUUAGGUUUUCCUGACUGUAGUUGCCUGCUUCUUGUGCUGUUUUGUUUGGGUAGGUGCAUUUUUUACUGUUCUUUUACUAAGACUGAUUUACAUCAUAUAGUUUGAAGUUUAUUUAUUUUGGACUACUGGUCCACUUUGAUUUUUCCUCUCAGUUCCUUAUGGGAAUGUAUUGGGAAGUAGAAUCUCAUAUCUCUAUAUAAAGGACAUCGGGCUAGUCUCCGAGGUAAGCAAUACUAAUCCUUAUUGGACAAUAAUACCAAUAUGCAACAUAAGUUGAUAUAUAUAUAUAUUUAUGAAAAGUAAAGGAAAAGAUAAUAUACCUCUUAUCCGUCCAAAAUGUGAAAGGUCCGCUACCUGAGGCAUUACAUGGAUUCAGAAUAAUUAGAUGAGGUCACAAAAUUAAUGGCUGCACACUCAAUAAAUAUGAAAACAACCAUUAUUCAGUUGCUAAAAGUGCACAAAAGAAAGUGAUGCCACCUAAACCCCAUUCAAAGAAUUAACACUCUAUUUAAGUAUUGACAUAAGAGCAGACAAACAAUGUCAUAAAGGAAAUAGCAUGCCGCGCCAAAAGUAAGAUGCACACAACACAAGUAUGAAUCAAUCUUAUGACUAUCCAUUCCCAGUGAUAGGUCUUUAGGUUCAAUCAGCACCACCUGUUUACAUGGUGGCAAGUGAUUAAAUCUAUAUCAGCAGUGCUGAGAGUGAACCCAGAGAAUUCAAACCUUAAUACAACUAAAAGAGCAACUUGACGAUCACUUUUCUCAAGACACCCAUUUGAAAAACAAAAAAAUAAAAAUUUCGCCAAGGGCGAAAAAUGCAUCUUGUCAAGGAUAUCAUUAAACCAUUUUCAACCUUACAAAUCGUGCAAUCUAACAUUUUAUAUUGAAUUCUCAAGUUCUAAAGCUUACAAUAAACAAGCAUUCAAUUCACAAACUAUGCAAAAACUGAAAUAAUGUAAUGAAUACGCACCACAACACCAUUAUCGGCUGCAUCAAAAGCUUGGUCAUCGUUACCGAAAGUUUCGACAAUCCCAUCAUCGGAAACCUUUGCCCCUUCAGUUGCCACAAUGUCCUGCUAACAGUCCGUUCAUUUUGUCAUGAAAUAUUGAACAUUCUUGUUGUGCUUCAGUUUCUUUUUCUAAUUCUCGAGAAAACAAACAGAGGAAACGGUGGGAGGCACUUACCAGGAGGUCGUGGUCGAUGGGAGGAGGGGAGAGGUCGAAAGGCAAGGCCAAAACGACACCUUUCCUAGUCGUUUUGGAAGAGAGUGUGAACUUAUGCUUCUGCUUAUGUUCCUUCGUCUUGGUCUGAGUCCAGGGAAACGCACCGUUCUGGUCGAGAUAAGAGAAGGAACGCCAUGGAUUGAGAAGCAGAAGCUCACCUGUAAUUGAAGCCAUUUCUUGUAGUCUUUUGAGUCUGGACAGCCCCGUCAGUCUCUACCAAAUAUAUGUUUGGAUGGAUGUUCCUAAUCCAAUUACUUUACAAUAUUUUAUUUAUUUAUAUAAAGCAAAAGGCAGGAAAUUGUGAAACAUUUAAAAUACUAAAAAAUGUCGUUGGUUCAUCAAACAUUAAUAAUUUAAAUUAUUAAUUAAAUGAGAAUAAUAUGGUAAAUUCACACCUUUUUAUAUUUUAAAAAAUUAAAAUUAAAAUUAAAACAAAAGGCAAAUAAUGAAUCCUAUUUUUAUAAAACACAACUAUCCAUUAUCUUUUUUAAUUUUUAAUUUUUUUUUUAAGUCUCUUACAGGAGCGGAAGCGCGUACGAAGAGGCUAGUUUAUUAAUUAUUUUAAAUGAUAAUGAACUUUUCUUUUUAUCUAUGGGGAUUGAAAAAUCACUUUUCAUCCUUGUAAUUUGACGAAAUUUCCACUUAAGUCCCUGUGCUGUGGUUUUCAAUUUUGGCAUUUUAUUGCAAUUGAGGGCACGUCCAAAUUUCUCUUACGAGCAGUAUUUUGGAUGAAAUUGGAUGGAAAUUUGGAUGUGUCCUUGAAUUACUAUAAAAUCAAACUAUAGGGGUUAAAUUACAAAAUUAAAACUACAUGAACCAAAGUGGAAACAUUGGCAAACUACAGCGACCGAAAGUGACUUUUCCCCCAAAAAAAAAGUCCUACACAUAAGUGUUUAGUCAUCAGACUAACCAAAUAGCCUACUCACCUUCCGCAUACCAAUCAGAGGGAAUCUUACCCUUGAUAAGGCACCCCAUCUCCCCCUAAAGCAAAAGUCAUAAAAAUUAUAGAUUACAAUCCUCCAAAAGGACAUCAAUAAUAAAAUCAGGAGGUUGUUGAAACCAAAUCCUAAAAUUGCCAAUGUUUAGAGCAAAUUUCACAAUUUUAUGAGCCACUCCAUUAGUUGUGCGAUGGAUAUGAAUGAAACAUACUCCAAUAACCUGUUAAAGCAUAAAUUUAUUGUCCUCCACUAGGGGUGGGCGCGGUCCGGUUCGGUCCGGUUCUCACCUCAAACCGGAACCGAAACCGGUAUUAUUUAACCGGUCCAGUUCGGUCCAGUUUAGGCAAAAAAAAUUUCGAAAACCGGCCGGUUCGGUUCUAACCGGUUCCGGUUUUGAACCGGAUUAUUAAUUUAUUAUUUUUUUAAUUUUUUUUUUUUAAAAAAAUUUUUUUUAAAUUUUUUUAAUAAAAAAAUUAUAAUAAAAAACUUAUUUUUUUAGCUUAAAAAUGAACAAAUAAUCCAAUUCAUACAUUUAGAAAUUUUUUGAAGUUGAACUUGGAAAAUUAGUGAUUAUAGAAGUUAAAAAAUGGCAUUAGAUUUUAAAAUUUUGUAAAAAUAUAAAUAUAAAAUAUAUGACCGGUCCGGUUCGGUCCGGUCCGGUGUGGAGAGAUGUAAAACCAGAACUGAAACCGGUUGGAACCGGUUCGGUCCGGUUCCGGUCCGAUUUGUUGACUUUUUUGGUCAACCGGUUUUUUUUCCGGUUUUUUUCACCGAUUCGGUUCGAUGUUCCGAUUUUCCGGUCCCGAUGCCCACCCCUAUCCUCCACCACUGGACCAAUUUGGAAUCAAUCCAAUAAUGGCUUUGUAAAACCCCUUUCCAUCACCAAAGCUACACCCUCCCUAGCUGCCAAAACCUCAGAGUGUGUAUCUGAGAAAAUAUUAUCAAAUCACUUCGCUCUCCCGGCAUUAAAAUUCCCACUUGAAUCACGUGCCACAAUACCCACUGCUCACUCCUUAUAAAACUUGAAUAGUUUUUGCAUGGCCUUUUGAGCAACAACAUCAGGCCUUCCUCUCUCUAGAGUUACUCCAAAUAAUUGAAUUGCGGGCCUCCUGUAUUGCGCACCCAAUACCAUAAAAAUUCCAAAGUCACAAGUGGAGAGAGAGGUCGCCACAAAGGGGACCCAAUCAGCCACUUUAAGGUACGAACUGCUGCUAACCACUCGCCCCAGCGGUGAACCGAACCAAACAUUUCUUCCAAACAGAUGGACAAGAUUGUAAUUAGUUAAAAAAUAAAAUGAGCAUGGACGUGCAUUCUUUGUUUCGCAUACUGCAUUCAUGCAACACCCACCAUUCAAUAUACUUAGGAAAACAGCUCCACCUUAUUUGUCUCAAAAAGGGUAUCAUAAAUUCUGCUGUUGCAUUCGGAAACCGUCUUCUACAAAUGUAUGUGAAAUGCGGUAGGAUGACCGAUGCACUGAAGUUGUUUGAUGAUAUGCCCCAAAGAAACUGUUUCUCGUGGAACACACUGAUUGAAGGUUAUACAAAAUCUGGGGACCUAGAAAAAUCUUUACAGUUGUUUGAGGAGAUGCCCCGUAAGGAUGAUUUUACGUGGAAUUUGAUUGUUUCUGGGUUUGCAAAAGUGGGUAAGCUGGAAAUUGCUCAUAGUUUGUUUGAUGACAUGCCUAGGAGAAAUUGGGUUGUCUGGAAUUCUAUGAUUCAUGGUUAUUCCAAGAAGGGAUGCCCUAGAGAUGCUUUAAGGCUUUUCCAGGAUUUGAGUUCGGACGGGUUGACAUUGUCACAUGAAUAUAAGUUUGUGUUGGCUACUGUUAUUGGAGCUUGUGGUGAUUUGUUUGCGCUUGGUUGUGGUAAGCAAGUCCAUGCACGCAUUUUUAUUGAUGAAGUGGAAUUUGACUCUGUUUUGGCUAGUUCUUUGAUUAAUUUGUACGGGAAGUGUGGGGAUUUAGAUAGUGCAAGCCACGUUUUCAAUAUGAUGAAGGAACCAGAUGAUUACUCUCUCUCAGCCCUGAUUUCAGGUUAUGGAAACUCUGGUAGAAUGGACGAUGCAAGAAGAAUUUUCGAUACGAAAAGUAAUCCAGAUGUUGCAUUAUGGAAUUCAUUGAUUUCUGGAUAUGUUAACAGUAAUGAAAACAUUGGAGCAUUAGUUCUAUUCAGUGAAAUGCUGAAGAAUGGUGUUCAAGGGAAUUCAUUUACGCUUGCAAGUGUUUUGACUGCCAUUAGUAUCUCAGGCAUCCUUAAACAGGCUGAACAAAUGCACACACAUGCUUGCAAAGUUGGGCUGAUUGGUAAUGUUAUUGUUGCUAGUGCUAUUCUUGAUGCAUACUCCAAGCGUGGAAGUCCUAACAACGCUUGCAGAUUGUUUAGUGAGCUCAAAGCCUUUGACACAAUAUUGCUUAAUUCUAUGAUCACUGUGUAUUCAAAUUGCGGCAGAGUUGAAGACGCGAAACAGAUUUUCAAGGCAAUGCCAAGUAAAAGCUUGAUAUCAUGGAAUUCGAUGAUCGUGGGCCUUAGUCAAAAUGGCUGUCCGAUUGAAGCAUUAGAUCUUUUCAGACAGAUGAAUAAGCUGGACUUGAUGAUGGACAAGUUUAGCCUCGCUAGUGUGCUCAGUUCAUGUGCUACUACAUCGUCGCUUGAAUAUGGUGAACAGGUCUUUGCUAGAACUACCAAAAUCGGGCUUGAUUGCAAUGAAAUUGUUUGUAACUCGCUUGUUGAUUUGUAUUGCAAGUGUGGUUUUGUUAAAAAUGGGCGAGAAUUAUUUGACAGAAUGGCCAAGUCUAACGAAGUCGCUUGGAAUUCUAUGUUGAUUGGUUACGCUACAAAUGGUCAUGGAAUUGAAGCACUAGCUCUUUUCAAUGAAAUGAGGCUUGCUGGUGUGGAACCCAAUGAAAUUACUUUCACAGGGGUUUUGUCUGCCUGUGACCAUUGUGGGUUGGUUGAAGAUGGAAGAAAAUGGUUUUCUAAGAUGAAACAGGACUAUCAUAUCAAUCCAGGCAUCGAACACUACGCUUGCAUGAUUGAUCUUUUAUCCCGUGCUGGUUUCCUCGAGGAAGCAGUGAAUCUAGUUGAAGUGAUGCCUUUUAAGGCAGAUGCAAGCAUAUUGUCUUCAGUCUUAAGAGGUUGUGUGGCUCAUGAACACAAGGAUCUUGGCAAGAAAAUGGCAGAGCGAAUCAUUGAGCUUGAUUCUGGGAACUCUGGUGCUUAUGUUCAGCUGUCUAACAUAUUUGCAAACGUAAAAGAGUGGGAAGGAUCUGCACAGGUUAGACAAGUGAUGAGAGAUAAUAGAGUAGAAAAAAAUCCUGGUUUCAGCUGGUCUGAUUGUUGAACAAGAGACUCGUAUGGCAAGAUAGUUCUUGAAACCCUUUACGCCUGUAUGCGAAAAGCAAAUGGGCACGUUACAGCCAAGUCAUAGGUGGAGGCUGAAGGUGAGAUAUAACCGGAGCAUCAAGUGACAGCACACAUCGCAUUGGCCAGAUUUCAAACAAUCAGAGGGUAGAAAGGGACGUCCCUUUAGUGUACCUAAUUACAGAAGAAUCUUGAAAUGAAGAUACGCAAAUCAACAGUUCAACACAACCCAGAAAUCUUGGGGAAAAAUGAUAAAAGUAUCAAAGUAGCAUUAGAGAAGGCAAAGUUUCUCAAGGAACUCAAUAUAAGGAGCACUAUAGAAGUUAAAGGGCAGCCAACACUCAUAUCAAGAGCCCCGUACACUCAGAACUUGGUUCUAAGUUUCAGUCAUCAGUCUCGACCAAAAAAAAAGCCAGUCAUCAGUCUAUUUAUUCUACAAGCUCGGGUAUUAUAAUCUUUGCAAAUUCCGAUGUACAAACACUAUGAUUAGAAAAGAUUAUAUGAUAAUACCGAUGAUAAAAACAGUUUCAGGGUUGAGUAUUAUGCUCGAAUUACAUUUUUUAUUAUUUAGAGGAAGCUAUUUUCCAUUGAAUUACUUGGGUAUAAUUGUUUCAUAUUUGUAAUUAUAAUAAUUCAAUACGUUAAAUGCCAUGACCCCUCCAGGAUUGCGCCUCACCUUGUUAGACAUAAACCGCCUUGCCUUUGAAAAUCUUGAUUAGCACUCCAAAAUGACCAUCAUGCACUUUUUCUCUUAUGUAAGGAGUGCAUAAUAACUGUUUUGAAACAGCUCUCGAGAUCUUUUAUGGGCAUGAUACAAAGACCAAAAUAAAACUAUCAAGAUGACGUAGAACAGUUAAUCCCAAGUGGUGUCUAACACCAAGACAACAUAGUCCACAUUUAGUUGUACGGUUGUAGCUGGUUUAAACUGAAAUUCUGAAAUUCUACAACUAUAUCAUUCGAUCCGCAGGGGCAUUUUUUUCGUUUUGCGAUUUUUCUAAUAUUAAAAUACAAGACUAAUGCAUUCUUGUGUUGCAAUGUUAAUUCUGAGACCAAUCAUGUUCAAGAAUACUUGACGAUUGAGCAACUGCUCUUCUAUAAUUAUGAAUAGACAGCCACCUUAUUCGUAUACGGCAAUUGCAAACGAACAAUGCAUUACUAACUCAAAUACCUAAACCUCAAACACUUCAAAAGCAAGACAAAACUUUGGGACUUGCAACAAACAAAAUACAGGCUUUCGACCUUUCAUGGAGAGGUUUACUUGGGUAAAUAGAUAUUGGACUUGGAACAAAAAGACCUGUACUGGGCUGCUUUCGGCAUUUCAUUGUACAAAGCCAGGGAAAAACAUAUCAACGAUCACGAAGAAACAUACGAAGGAACCGGGAGAAAUGGAAAUGGUGCAACAGAGGCAUAUGAUACAGGUGGCCGCACUUGUGUUCUAUCUGUGGAAUUCCUCAACUUAUUCUUCGAGUUGACAUUUCUAUCUUGUGAGGACAAUGAAAGCUCAACACUACUCUCUGAAUUCUCUUCAGUAAGGCAUUGUUGAUUAUCAGAGAGACGGUGAAACAUAAUCCCAGACAUGAAUACAGGAAGAUACAGAAGGCUGGCAUGAAACAUCUUCCUAGCUUUAUGUGUAGUGCGGUCCUGAUGGAACGAAAAUGCCGUUGCAGUUAUUGCGAGAGUAAGAAGAGUAGAUUCAAGACAAAACCAUCCAGAAGUCAUACCCCCUGCAGACAAAGAGAUGAAAUUGGUGGAAUUAGAUGUAAGCCCCAACCUUAAACUAUUCCUGCUUAAUUAGGGACCAAAGAUUAUACAUCUCACUCGUGGAUGUUCAUAGUCAUUUUCUGACCAAAAAUGUAAUCAAGAUGGCAUGUCCAAUAAAUUAACUACUUAUAGAAGAGAUGAUCAACAACUGUCCCAAUAUCAUACAAUUGGUCAUCGGUAGGGGCCACAAAUUAAUUAAGUCUAUCAAGAUAUAAAAGAGGAACAGUGACAUGUUAUCAACCAAAACCAUGAAUAACAAUUAUAACUUGUCAGAUUUGUUACACCUCCAAGAGUAAAAUCUUAGGAAACAUGCAAAAAAUAGGUAAAGCCUAAAAAUUUAAUCUGAAUACAGCCACAUCAGACAUGAUAUGGGGCAAAUUUUUUGAACUAAGACAGAUAACAACCUAUUUCAUUAAAAAAAUAUGAUAUUUCGUGCUUUAACAAAUUGUAAAUCACAUCUAAGUCUGUUAUUUUCAAUUUAAUGCAUACCAAUGUUGACACCCAAAUAAUGGACACAAAUUCUUUUAUUCACUAAGAAACAAAAUUGACCGACCAUUGGUUGAAAAGGGAGACGAAGAAAAAUACUCAAGUAGCUUCACAAGCAUACUAGCACAGAUAAAACUACUAAACUACAACACAAAUAAAACUUCCAUAGAAACAAGAUUAGAAAAGGAAAAAGUUAUUGUCUGUGAGUAUUCGGACUCACAAUCAUAGGCCAAGAAUCCCAAAGGGAUCAGGUAUACACAAUUCCUUAAAGCUACUAAGGCUGUUUUCUGACCAGAAGCAUCAGCAAGGGAGAGCAUCCUAAACCUGGAUAUACAACAAAUAAAAAGGGAUUAAGGGGAAGGAGCCAAACAAACCAAGGGAAGUAAAUCAAUAAUCGGUGGACCGUCACACAUACAAAGAUCCCACCCGCCCCGUAGAUUAUCUAUCUAGACAAUAACUUGAUCACACGUUCUGAAAUGUCUAGUUAAUCAUUUGAAAGGGGGAAAAAGUGGAUCACAAACAGAUUACUUACACCAUUUGCUCUGAAAAUUGUUCAGGAUUAGGUGGAAAUUCUGCCUUGAACUCAUCGGGCAUAAUUGGAUAUUGAUUAAUUAUUUCCAUGAACAAUAAGGCCCAUGUCAUGAAAUCAAAGGCAGGAAAUAAAACCCAUGUUCUGAAACAAUUUCCCAGUACAAUAGGUGGAUCCGUUCCACUAAUGACAUAACAUUUAAAGUAAGACCAUUAAAGAACUGAAAGUCCAUACCCUCCAGCGGCAUAGUCAUUACGGCACAAGUAUGCAAGGGCCAUAAAAUGAGGUAUUUGCCAAAAGUAUAAAGCAGCUGGGAGAAGCAUUGCAUUGAGGGAAACCUGGCCAGCAGCUGCAGCCCAACUGAGAGCCAAAAUGAGAAAUCAUGAGUCAGAAUGCAGUAAUAGUCGGUUCUGAAUAACAAUUUAAUUGAUGGUAACUGGUUCAGUAUGCUGUUAGAUUGAAUCAAAAUUACAUAUUUAUUUCAUUAUGAGGAAAGUGGGUAUUUCAAUAUUUGAAAGAGGUAAGAAGGUCUCUUUUGUAGCCCAAGUAUCACAUAUUCCCCUAUUUCCCUUCAAACAUACAAUUUAAUCAAGUGGAGAGGCACCACCCUGGUGCUCAGAAGAUAUUUAGGAGAAACAAAAGAAUUCAAGCAAUGCUAAAACAAGAGCUAAUCUUUCAAGAAGUCAAGCACUGUAUUAGUUAAGAGUGCUGCUAUUUCCACCCACUUUUCCUACUUCACCACCCACCAUUUAAUGAAAAUAUUAACUGCAUAUCAAGUACUUUGUUAAAUGAUCUCUAUAAGGGUUCAGGUAUAAAUAAAAAAACCAAAAUUAUCAUACUAUACCCACUCACCUAUACUUGGGGGAUGGGCAGUCAAAUGUAUAAAUCUAUUGCGUAAAACAGUGGGAAUUUUUUAAUAUUGAAAAUCAAACUUGUUUGUUAUUUAAGCUUAAUGGGAAUUGCUUCACCAAAAGACAAAAAGAAAAAGCUUAGUGGGGAUUACAGAGAACAUUGAUCAGUUUUCAGCCACAAAAAUAUGUUGCAACAACCAACAUUACAGCUGCCAUGAGUUAACUGAAAACAUAAGUUUUCAAUAGCCAAAUCAAUAAGUAAAGCUCCUCCAACAAGUCUAAUGAAGGAAGCAUGUAGCUCAAAGAAAUCAGGGGGCAUAUUACCCUAAAAGUGGAGGAAUAGCACCAACAACCGCACCAACCCAUGUAUUUACUGGGUGAAUCUGCUUCAACGGAGUAUAUACAAAUGCAUAAAGUAUUAAAUUUGAAGCUGCAAGUCCAGCUGCCAACAUAUUAGCCUGCAACAACCUUGCCAUAAAAGUUGCAACAUUAACCCCCAAAUAUUUCAUGCGAUGGAAAUCAGAAUAUUAUUGCCAUAUAACAUUUACAGAAAGAAGUGUUAAUUCAUGGGGCCACCUGGCUUGCCAACAAAGCAGUGCCAGCUAAACCAGCAGCAGAUGCCCAGGUGACUGCAUGAGGUAUCGUAAUGCGUCCCGAUGGAAGUGGUCUUUGCUUCGUUCUAUUCAUUUUGGCAUCAUUAUUCUUCUCAAACACCUAAAAGCAAACAAUUUUUAAUGAUUUAACACAUAAUCAAGCCAAAAAGUUAACAAUAAAAAAGUAAAGAUACUGCAGGCAAUGAGCCAUUAACUACUCAAGCAACAUAAACCAACUCAGCAUCAACUGCUGAAAAAAUGUUUACCAGUGGCAGGAAAACAAGUACUACAAUCGCUCAACAGAAGUAUGGAAUUCCCUUAAUGCUUUAUCUUAGAUGCCUUUUAUACCCUCACUCCAUUCUCCCUAGUUAUUUUCUUUAUCAACAUAAUUAAGAGAAAAUAAGACAAAUAACGUGAAGCAAUAAUUGAGUAUAGGCUAUAGCAUAAGAAACUGCACAUAUAGUAAGCAUUAUAAAGAUAAUCAAAUGAAUUUGGAAGUGCUUUAUCUAAUCCUGUAUCCUAUAAUAUACAUUCCAUGUAAACAUUCAACAACAUAAAACCUCAAUAGGAAAGUAAACCUUUACUGUAAAGUAAUGUUGUUGCUCAUGCACUUGCUUAUCAAUAGGGAAAAACAGAAUAACAAAAGAUAAAGAUAACAGAAUGCAUUCUUCCAAGGCUCAUUUUAGCUUUUCAAGUACCAAACUCAAUUUUGAAUUAAAACAAAUAGCUUAAUGACCUCAAAAUCUAAAUGUGACUAUUGACGCUUACAUUUUUCUUUUCUUUUUUCUGAGAUAAGAAACAAAGACUAUAUUCAAUCUAAAGAAUGAAAAUUAUAAACUGCACCCCUAAAAGAAGUAUAAAACUUUAGAACUCAUUCCUCUUGAAAAGGUUCUAAUUAAUCCAUAUAGUCAGAGUCCCGGCUUUAAGCUUCAUUCCUACUUGUAUCUGACAGAUCGAAGCUUAAUGGACAAAAAUUAAAUAACUAAUUAACUGCAUUAUAAAAAUAAAAUAAGAAGCGAAAAAUUUGACUGAACAUGGUGAACAUUGCCAUAAUAUAAAAGUUAUAUAUAUAUAUACAAGUGUGUAUGUGUGCGUGAAAAAAGCUGUCAUCAAAGAGCAAACCUGAUUUAAAGAAUUAGCAGAUGCUGCAACCAUCAUGGUACCAGCACAUGUCCAACAAAGUCCAGAAAAAUCAAUGGCAUGGCCACUUCCAAGAACAAAUCCAGUUCCAGAAGUUGCAACAACUAGCAUGCUGGAUUAAAAGUGAAAAAAUUGUAAGACAAAAUCCAAAUGACAAAAACUUCACAAGCACCAGUAUGUUAGUUGUGGAAGAAAAUGAGUUGUUUUUGUAGUCUAGUUUUCAUUGUUUUACUGUUUAAGGUGGACAACUUGUCCACCAAAAUUGUAAUGUUGUGUAAUUGAAAUAAAAUUUUGUUUCUAAUAAAAAAUUACACAUAUUAAAGAAUCACCCCCCACUAUUAUAAUUCUCUUCUUCCAAAAUGAUACCAUUUUUACCAUAUAAAAGAAGUAAGAAAACAUCAAUAAAAAAUUCUGUAACAGCGAUCAAAGAAUCACGUUUUAUAGAAUACAAUUACGCAAUCUGAAUCAGAACAAACACAACCCAACUUCACAAUCAGUUUUAAAAAAUUAUAAAUAAAAACCCAGAAAUGCCAUUUUCAAAUUAAUAGAAAUGAAAAGAAUGAGAAUUUCGUGUAAAUGUGUACCUGAGGCGAGCUUUGGAGAGCUCCCAAUAGCAGCGACCAUAGUGGCGAGCCCAGUACGAAGCUUUGGAGGCCCCAGACGCGAGAUCAACAGCAGUAGCCGCCGAGAGUGCUCGGAAUCCAUCGGGGCGCUGAAACCCUAGCUUCAGAGAAUCUGAAGGUGAAGGUGAAGGUGAGGGGGAGUAAGAGUAGGAUUGGGAGAAAGAGUGAGAGAGCAGUGGUGGUCGAGCGACGUCGUUCGCUGCCGAGGAGGAAAUGGAAGAGAGGUGCAAUGAGUUGUUAGAUGUUACGAGCUUGGGCGAGAAUCUCAGCGAGUUCCUCCACAUCUUCUCGUCAAUUGGGAAAGAGCGAGACAAAAGGAAGAAGAAGAAGAAGUCGACAAUCGUUUUUUUUUUUUCGGUCAAAAAGUUGACGAGUAGUUUCUAAAGGCCGUGCAGCUUACCUGAGCCCGUUUCUUCUAAGGGCUCUUUUGAUAUCGCCCGUUAGAUGAAUCCAACGGCACAAAAUGACUUAUCUCAUCGCGCACACUUUUUUAUUUUUUGGUGAAAUCAUCGCACACUUUUGAUACCAAGUUACGUGUGUAUCUUUUCUUUUUCCCUUUAGAAAUGUGCUUUGUUCUUUUUUGUAAAGAAGCCAAAAAAGGGGCACAAGUAACAUAGAAGAAAAGAAGACAGAGCCCUAGAUAUAUUCAACGGUCGCUCAUACCGAACUGUAUAUCCUGAACCUGAAGAAAUGAAAUCGAUUGGGUUAUUGAGCAAACAGGUCUCACCACGUCAACGUCAUGUAAUAAGCCCAAUGAAAAGGUUAGAACCCUAAGCAAGCAAAAGGCCCCACUAUGACAUGCAACCUGUUGGCAGAUAAUAUCAUGCCACAUGUAAGAGUCUUGUAGUUCAAGUGGUUAAGAACAUUUACCCCGAACAUCAUAGGUCUUAGGUUCGAUCUCUCUAAUAUCGCUUAUAUAGAAAAACAAAACAAAAAAUCAUGCCACACCGCAGGCGAUGAAGUGUUAUCUAUCUUUCUGCCAUUCUAUGCAAAGAUUCAUGAAUUAAAAUCCAAAAGUGGUGCAUUUGGGCUGUUUUUCUUGUUUAGGAGUUAAACUAAUCUUGUGCCCUUCUCCCUCUGCAUAUUCUUUAACAGUUUCAUAUGCUUGGAUUCAACAGAAACAAACACACACAAAAAGAAGCUUUCAAAAUCUUUCUAAUAGUAGGAAGGAACAGGGCAAGAGGUAUGCAGCCUUCCAAAAGUAAGUUCAAGCAAAUUUUCAAUCAGCUGUACCAUUUAGGUCUCUUGCCUGAACCCACCAAGUGGAUUCAAUCUGGUAGUGCCCUAAGUCAUAGGUCCAGCAGAAACUUCACCAAGGGAUUUAUGAGGAUAAAAAAAUAUCAACAACAUUGCCCAUGUAUAUUAGGUGGAGCAAAAUCAAAGUCUCCAAAGAUUAGCAUGAUGGCAAAGGUUUGUCUAAUUAGUCCUUAACGCCCAUUACAACGUCGCCCAUUGCACUCUCAUGAUGCUCACAAAAAAACAAACUCUAAUAAAAUAAAAAAUAACAUAUGACAUAAAUUAGUGGAUAUAUCUGUAUGUGUUUAAGCGAAACUACAUCCCUGACGUCGUCUAAUCUUCACUAAUUAUUUCUUAAUCUAAACAAGUUCAUUUACUCACUAUUUAUGAAUUCCCAGCUAGUCACCAUUCCUUUAUCAACUUAAAAAAAUCUUACAUGCAUUGAUGUCAAGUACAUCCAUGCAGCAUUGUACUUGCUGUCAUGUCCACAGGCCACUACUUGAGGAGCAUUAGCCAAUGGUGCUAGUAUGCAUAUAUGAAUCUUCUUCUGCUUAAAUGAAAGGUCAGCCAGAUUUCCGUGCAGAAAAUUCCCACAAGCAUGUCAAAAUGGUCAUUUCAGAGCUUCCCUGAUGGUGGCAGCUAUGGCAGGGGUUGGCUCUGGUGUUGGUAUCAAUCGUGCAGACAUGGAACCAGCAGAGCAGAGAAGUUAGAAUCAUAUCCAAUUUCUUUUGCUUCAUUACAAAUUUACCACACAAAGGAUAUAUUUACAGUUCCACGGUUAGCUCCCAUACAAUAGAGUACAUAAAAUCUGUCAAGAAAAUUUGAAAUACCAUCAAAGCACUCAGUCUGGGGAAUUGCAAUUUGUUUCCAUGAAAUCCACUUCAUAAACAUGUGGAAUCAAGAACAGGAAACAUAAUCACUAGUAUAGCUAGAAAACCAUUGAAGAGAGCAACAGGGCCAAACCAUCCAGGUCAUAUGCAUCUUUAUACAGAGUUUAUACUUCUAUUUCUACUACGUAUGUGUAGAAUCUACAUAUAUACUUCUAUUUCUGCUAAGGCAGUGAAACAAAAAUUAUACUUCUGUUCCUGAAGUAUCAGCUUGUGAAAAGUAGAACAUAACCCUGUGAAAAACAGACCCAAAAAAACUCUGUGAAAAAAUAUUUUAGUGACAAAAAGAAAUACCAAUAUCCAACUCAGCAGAUAUCCAACCAAACAAAAUUAUACUUUCAAUAUUUUUAGAAGAAAAAGCCACUAUUGCAUAAGUAAUCAAACAUAUUGCAGGCAAAAUCAAAAUGUCCAAACCCAUUCAUAAAGUAUCCAUUCAAAUACAAAAACCAACACGUACAUGGAAAAAAACUGAAGAAAUGAGAAUUGAAAAUCACAAAAUGACUAUUUGGGAGCUGAGAGAUAGUGAGAGUGAGAGUGAGAGAGUCAGUGAGUGCGAGAGAGGGUUUUUUUUUUUUUUUUUUUUCCUUUCUAGAACAUAGCUAAGAAAUAAAGAUGCAUGGCAGCAGACCAACAAAAAAUAGUGUAUAGCAGAACUCCAAUCAUACAACAAAGCUUGAAAAGAAGUAUCCUAAACUCUGAAGAUACCGAUGCCUGAAGAGACACAUGAACUCUACCCAAUAGAAGAUCUCAUCUACUUCUCGAGCUCUAGCUCAUGGUUGGGUAGGAUUGGAUCAAUUUCUAGCGUAGAUAACCCAAAUCACGAAUUGAAAUUUGGCCGGAUUUCGAGAUGAGAUUCAGGCCACUUCUGCUCGUUUUUCGGGGUAUGCCCAAGAACAAAAGUGACUCCAAAUGAGGUUUUACACCUAGGGUAGGAACAAAGCUUGAAAAGAAGUAUCCUAAACUAAGAUACCGAUGCCUGAAGAGACACAUGAACUCUACCCCAUAGAAGAUCCACCUCUUGUCCCUUGCACCCUCAAAAUUCUUCUAUUCCUCUCCAUCCACACCACCCAAAAGAUUACGAUGAUAGCACAUCUCCCUAACACCAAGCCCACAUUUUUUCCACCCAAAAAACUUAUACCUCUCACAUAAUAAUGCAAAACAAGAGGCUGGAGCUGCCUAUCUCAAAUUGGUCUCCUUAACCAGUCUUCUCCACAAGGUCAUAAGUAAUGGGACAACAGGUGAUCUGAACUCUGAGAAGCAUUACUACACAUCACACAUCACACAUCACACAAGUUGGGAGAGAGCUACCAAUAAGACUGUCUCCACUGAACCACAUCACAAGUGUUCACAUUCCCAUGAGCUAUAAUCCAAACUAACACCUGUAACUUUGGAGGUACUGUGUCCUUCCAAAUUGUACGAAGCCACAAAAAGAAAAAGAAAAAGAAAGAAAGAGAAGAGUUAUAUAUUAAUUUUUUUGCAUAAGAUUUACAAGAGCACACUCCCAAAGACUCUAACUUCCAUAUUCUAGUAUCUGGCCGAGAUUGCACCAAUAAAACAAUCUCUAAGACAGCAAUAGCUCUGCUAACUCCCCCACCUCAUGAUCAUUCAAGUGUAUACGAAAACUGAAGUCCCAACUCAGAGGAAAAGAAGAAAAGUCUGCACAAAUGCAAUUGGACUACCAUGCGCCCCCCAUCCCCCCUUCUCCCUCUUUUCCUUUACCUGCAAUAUUUAAUCCCAAUUAACCAAAUGAUCUUUCUUCCUUCCGAAAUUCCUUCCCAUAAAAACUUCCUCAUCACACUUUCAAUUCUGUUUGGCACACGAACAGGAAUACAAAAAGUGAAGAGUAAUAAUAGAUAGACACACUGCAAACCGAUUGCAGAUGGGAAAUCUCCACUUCUUCUCUUCCAACUACCAAACCCCUUAUCGUUUUCAACUCCCUAGCUCUUUCCACCAACCUACUCAACCCAUUUACCACAACAGUAAAUAAGAAAGGAGACAGAGGAUCUCCCUGUCUAAGCCUCUAUAUGCUCCAAAUUUACCCUUCGUCUCCCAUUAAUUAAGACUGAAAAAUUAGCCACUCAAGCACCCCCUUAUCCACUUCCUCCAAACAGUUUCGAUGCAUUAUAUCAUUAGAAAUAUUUAUUUUUCUCAUAGCUGCAUUAUAAGUACUUUAUAAAAAACUUUGUCGUUUAAAAAAAGAAGUCGAGAGAAAAAAAUUUACCUGAGAUAAAUCAACUUUCAUGUUGUUCACCAAUAAUCUCGACAAGAGCACAAGCCAUCUUUGAAAUGGUGGAAUCUCUUAGCAUCUCGCAUGAUGAGUUCUCUGCCUACAAUUUUUGAGAUGAUCUUCAAUGCAUUAUGGCAAUCACCACAAACACGAAGAUUCUUGAUUACC
rnacentral:lncRNA from 1 species